GUUAAGAUGUCCUUUUUUUCCUAAGAUGUAUACGGGCAGAGAGAUAGGGGUGCUCUUGUGCUUGGUAGGGCCGGCGGGCCGCGAUCCCAAGGGAGGCGGCGGCGCGGGGUAGGGAGGCGAGGGUCGUUGGGAGAGGUGGGAGAGGGUAGGGGUCAGCAGCAGCAUCGGGGAGCGGCGGCAAGCUAUAGGUUCUGCCUCGGAGCCGGCUGUCGAGGAACCUCGUGCGGCGGGCGGCCACCUACGGGACUAAGACGCGCUGGGGCGGCCUCUGAGUGGAGCGGUGGAACCGCGGAGGGCGUCCUAGAGGCGGUGGCGGAUCGCGAAGACACGCGUUCCUACGGCUGCGGAGAGGGACCAUGGAGAUAGAGGUGAGGGAGCCCCGCGACGAGUGACGAGGUGUGGGGAAAGGAGAGGGUAGGUUAUGCCGAGUGCCGGACGAUGUCUGCGGACGGCCGAGGGCACGUCCGGGAGGACCACCUGUCGGAGGUCGGGUGUGUUCGAAGGGACAAGACCGAGACAGCGGAUGGUACCAACUCAUCUCGCUCCUCUAGCUCUGCCCUUUAUCAGUGAACUAAAAACGCCUAAUACAACUCGUACCUCUAACUAGAAUUGAAAAACCAACAGGCGUCUAAGUUACUACUGUUGUGCGUGUGGAAAGGGACUACGAACCCGUUUCCGUACAUACAGGCUACACGUCCGUUUUGAAAUAUCUACGUCUAAUGUAUGUAAUCUUUAACGGUUGAGCCACCUACUAUGGAUGAUACUGAACCCUGGGUCUUUUUUCUAGUUGUGCAUCUACGUCUAAUGUAUCUAGUCCUGAACGAUUGAGCCGCAUACUGUGUAUGAUUUGCUGUAGUUGUGCAUCCAUACUCUCAAGCCUUAUAGGUUGUGCAUCCACUCCGUGCCCGAUAGUGGCUCCACUUCUUAAGAGAGGGCCAACCAGAAUGUGUACCUACCGCGCGUGACGUUAAAAUAAAAGAAAACUCGACCUACCGUGACGCGUUAGACUACAUCACCUCACCAAGUCAGAUAUUUAACCAAAACCGUGUAAGUUUUAAUAAUCGAUCUAAAUUAGCACUUAAGUAGACCAAGAUAUGUACAAGAUCUCCAAAUCUCCAAAUCAACGUUCCUAUGGUAUAGCAUUCUACGUGUAAGUGUAGACUUCCAAUUUACAUAAGUUGUUUAGCCCACUGGUACGCCAACCUAGCGACAAUAUAUAACCACUUUAUCCUUGAAGAGAAACUUUAUACAUGUACUAAUAAAAAACAGUAUGAACGUUUUUAG
rnacentral:rRNA from 1 species